AUACGUAGAGGGCGAGCGUUGUCCGGAAUGAUUGGGCGUAAAGGGCGCGUAGGCGGCGCGGUAAGUCUGGAGUGAAAGUCCUGCUUUCAAGGUGGGAAUUGCUUUGGAUACUGCCGCGCUUGAGUGCAGGAGAGGUUAUCGGAAUUCCCGGUGUAGCGGUGAAAUGCGUAGAGAUCGGGAGGAACACCAGUGGCGAAGGCGGGUAACUGGACUGCAACUGACGCUGAGGCGCGAAAGUGUGGGGAGCAAACAGGAUUAGAUACCCUGGUAGUCCACACUGUAAACGAUGAAUACUAGGUGUAGGGGGUAUCGACUCCCUCUGUGCCGCAGUUAACACAAUAAGUAUUCCGCCUGGGGAGUACGGCCGCAAGGUUGAAACUCAAAUGAAUUGACGGGG
rnacentral:rRNA from 1 species